rnacentral:lncRNA from 1 species
AGAAUUAUGCAGACUGCUGGUGAGGGGACAGACCGAUUCACAACUUCUGCUUUCAGCCGGACUCAGAGUUGUAGUUGCUGAAAUGUUUUUGUGAAUACUAUUCUCACCAGCCCCACCAUCAUCAUAAAUGCCAGCCUUGUAAUACCAAGCCACCCAAACAAGAUGCUGAAGAAUGAGUUUCCUAUGUGGAAGGGGUCAAUGAAGACAGCCCAUAGUCAAACCAAAUUUCUGCUUGUGGUUUCAAAAGCAUGAAAGAUCCAUUUUAGCUUUAGUAAAACAGGGUUCAAAGGUCUGGAGUUUGGUUUACUAGGGAGUUUGUUUUGUUUUGUUUUGUUUUGUUUUGUUUUUUUUCCAAUUUGUUGAGAUUUGGUAGACAAGCAAGGGGCAUCAGUCUUGUCUGAAAGUUCUGUCAGCUCAUGGUCUGGUGAGAAUUCGAAGAGAUUCAAAGACUAUAUCACCACCAUGGUCUUGCCAGAAUCUGCCCUCUGAGUCAUUUCUUAAUCUACUGAUUAUCUGUAGAACCAGCCUUAUAUAAACAAGGAAGCAUCUAGCAGGUGAGGUGGCCACAACUUCUGCUCCUGAUCCUCAUGCGUGGCAGGCUUUGCCUCUAUGCUGCAUGCUGUGGAAUGAAGAGGCUGCGGCUCACCAAGGCUCACAAAGACCUUACCACGAUCCCGGGUGUUCGGAAGAGGUGUGUGUUUCUUCCUCCCUCUCGUCACAGUUGCUGUCCCCCAAGGAAGAGGAAAUGACUUGCUUGUGGAAUCUGUUUGCAAGCAAAUCACUUAUUUGGAACCAAAAAUGGGGGAGAAGGAAGUAGGAGCCAUAGACUCAGGGCUUGAUCAGGAUUCCGCAAGCCUUAGAGUUUUCCACUCCCCACAACAUACCUCUCAUCUGGGCCAUUUAGAGGCAUCCCCUGCCUCCCACUCUGUCUCUGCUUGAGGGCUACACUCCGCGCCCCCCACCACCCCCCAGCCCGAGCCCCACUUUAACAGGAUUCAACUCCUUUGUCUGACUGCGACCACAGGUGAUGAGAGCUGGGAGGGCAAGUUGGUUGGCCUUUCUUGCAGCUCCCACAUACUAAAUCAGGAAGCAUGCAGGAGUGGAGAAUGAACAGCAAGAAUAUACACAGCCCGGAACUUCCAGUCUGAAAUGUCUAGGGCAUUUAGUAUGAAAAAUCUGUUCAUAAUUGAAAAAACAAAACACCUAAUGCAGGAACCAGAAUUUUCUGCAACAAGCAACAUUACCAAAAAAAGACCAGCCAAGAGGGCUUGCCAGAAUUGGCUAUAGAGCGUUAUACCAGGUAAACUCGUCAGAUGGAACCAUGUCUUUCCUUUGGGAGAACACUGACAUUUAGGCUUUGGCUUCUUGAGAUUCUGCUGGAGGACUUUUCAGUGGAAUGCAAUGACUCCUUCCUUCCUCCCUGAACUGAAAUCCGGGCUAUUACAAUUCCAAAUGGACACAGAGUCCUGCCAAGUUUAUAGGAAAUUGGAAUGACAGCUUGGGUUCCCACCACUAGGGAUAGCAGAAGCUGAAUGCUCAGAGAAUAAGUAACAUUUCCCUGGUGAUUCCCAGUGUGUCUAUUUUUAUUUUAAGGAGUUCUGUGUUUUCAUUCAGUUUUGUGAAUGGAGGAAUCCAUAUGAAAUUUUCACUUCCUUGGGUGCUCCAGGAGCUUGUCAUUCCAGAGGCAGAGCAGCCCAGAAGUCCUGGGAUUUACACCUCUAGUAGAAACCCUCAACCAGAGAAGGAUGGAAGUCAAUUGACUCCAUGCAUCUCCACCUUCUCCAGGAGAAGCCCACCCCAGCAGCUUCGUGAGCAUCAUGGAAGACCAGCAGCUACCCUGCCUUCCCUGCACAAACCAUCCAUCAGUGCCUGUAGCAGCCGUGUGGAGCUGCUCUCAUAGGAGAUGGUUCCAUCAUAAAUCAAGACACCAAUUACAAUAAUUUGUCCUUAUGACUUUAAAAUGAGGGCUCGUGUUGGAAGCCUCCAUCUGUUUUCUCUGCUCCUCGCAUUUUAAUGUUUCUGGUACAUUUUUCCCACUCUGCCACCACAUGGGCCAGCCAUUGUCCCUGGUUUCAACUACUGUUGGAGGUGCCUCCAAGAAUCCCAAAGAGAAUUUCGGCUGUCAGAGGAGGGGAUUGUCUGUGUUGUGUUGGGAAAUGGAGAAGAUCAAGCCCAGCGAACUCCGUGUCAUCAUUGUGCACGAAGCCCAGCCCUUUGAGAUUUGGGACCACCGAUGGCUCUCAUGGUCCUGUGACCACAUCAUUAGUAUUCUACACCUGCCUCCACUCACAACCCAGCUGUUGGCAGGCAAAGGAAUCCUCCUUUAUGGGAAGGAGAUGAUGCAAGAGAACAUCACCAAAGGCCCCAGGACAUGACUGGUGUCUGAUAAGGGAGGAAAAGGCUUGGAGGUGAGUUAAAAUCUUGAAUCCAAGAAGCUAUACUAAGAGAUAAGUCUGCCUUGGUAUCUAGCAUCUUCAGGAAGGUGCACAUUGCAGUCAAGAUGUCAUUUAUCAGGGCUGGGC